rnacentral:rRNA from 1 species
GCGGCGAGACUAUACAUGCAAGUCGAGCGGACAGAAGGGAGCUUGCUCCCGGAUGUUAGCGGCGGACGGGUGAGUAACACGUGGGUAACCUGCCUGUAAGACUGGGAUAACUCCGGGAAACCGGAGCUAAUACCGGAUAGUUCCUUGAACCGCAUGGUUCAAGGAUGAAAGACGGUUUCGGCUGUCACUUACAGAUGGACCCGCGGCGCAUUAGCUAGUUGGUGGGGUAAUGGCUCACCAAGGCGACGAUGCGUAGCCGACCUGAGAGGGUGAUCGGCCACACUGGGACUGAGACACGGCCCAGACUCCUACGGGAGGCAGCAGUAGGGAAUCUUCCGCAUGGACGAAAGUCUGACGGAGCACGCCGCGUGAGUGAUGAAGGUUUCGGAUCGUAAAGCUCUGUGUUAGGGAAGAACAGUGCGAGAGUACUGCUCGCACUUGACGGUACUAACCAGAAGCCACGGCUACUACGUGCCAGCAGCCGCGGUAUACGUAGUGGCAGCGUGUCCGGAUUAUGGGCGUAAGGCUCGCAGGCGUUCUAAGUCUGAUGGAAGCCCCGGCUCACCGGGAGGUCAUGGAACUGGGAACUGGUGCAAAAGGAAGGGAUCACGUUACGUGA